AGCGGCGGACGGGUGAGUAACACGUGGGUAACCUGCCCAAGAGACUGGGAUAACACCUGGAAACAGAUGCUAAUACCGGAUAACAACACUAGACGCAUGUCUAGAGUUUAAAAGAUGGUUCUGCUAUCACUCUUGGAUGGACCUGCGGUGCAUUAGCUAGUUGGUAAGGUAACGGCUUACCAAGGCAAUGAUGCAUAGCCGAGUUGAGAGACUGAUCGGCCACAUUGGGACUGAGACACGGUCCAGACUCCUACGGGAGGCAGCAGUGAGGAAUAUUGGUCAAUGGGCGCAAGCCUGAACCAGCCAAGUCGCGUGAGGGAAGACGGCCCUACGGGUUGUAAACCUCUUUUGCCGGGGAGCAAGCCUGAGCACGUGUGCCCAGGCGGAGAGUACCCGGAGAAAAAGCAUCGGCUAACUCCGUGCCAGCAGCCGCGGUAAUACGGAGGAUGCGAGCGUUAUCCGGAUUUAUUGGGUUUAAAGGGUGCGCAGGCGGUCUGUUAAGUCAGCGGUCAAAGCCCGGGGCUCAACCCCGGCCCGCCGUUGAAACUGGCAGUCUCGAGUUGGAGAGAAGUAUGCGGAAUGCGCGGUGUAGCGGUGAAAUGCAUAGAUNUCGCGCAAAACUCCGAUUGCGAAGGCAGCAUGCCNGCUCCACACUGACNCUUAGGCACGAAGCGUGGUNUCGAAAGGAUUAAAUACCUGGUA
rnacentral:rRNA from 1 species